rnacentral:lncRNA from 1 species
AUGGGGAUACUGCUCUGCCUUGCAUAAUCAGUCAAUCCAUUAUGCAUCUUCAGCAUGUCAAUCACCUCCGCAUCCAUGUCCCCUUUGAUAACAUAGGAAGUAAUCGAAAGGCUAUAUGUCCCUUGACUAAAUUUGUCAACCUCUAGGUCGUGGCUGGUCAUUUUGCUGCACAUCAUAAGGGCUUAGGUAUAGAAUACAAGUGAUUCGUUAUCUGAUUCAAAACACUACUCUUUCCUGCUGUUGUAAUCAGCAUAAUGGUCUUUCUUUUAGAUAUUAUUGAAGCUGCCUAAACAAAAUGUGUUGCUGCAGAUACAAAUAGGUACCUCCUUUUAAUUGGCUGGUCGCAAUGGCGGCGCAUCAAGGUGCAAGGCAGCGGCGUCAUGUUCAUACUAUGGGAAAGGAAGAGCUCCUAAUAAUUUUUAUGCUCCUUGCCGUAGGUGAGUUGCCACCUCUUCCCACAUGUUCGUGCUAAUUAUUAAGUAAACUCGAGAAUGAAUUGUGAUUGUGAUUAGUAUCUUUAGAUAUUGGUCAGUACUUUUACUCUACUUGCUUAUGUAGCCACUAAUGUGGUUCCUUGAUGCUUCUUUGAAGGCAAUUGAUUAAGUCAAAAGGCAACAAGAAGGCACGACGGCGAUCAAGGACCUUAUGUACGCCGAGUGCUAUCUUUUGUCUACCAUAUCGUAUGAGAGAUGAACCAACUAAGUCAUGUG